rnacentral:tRNA from 1 species
GGAGAAUUGGCAGAGUGGUCGAAUGCGGCAGUCUUGAAAACUGUUGUGCGGCAACGUACCGGGGGUUCGAAUCCCUCAUUCUCCGCCA